rnacentral:rRNA from 1 species
UACGAAGGGGGCUAGCGUUGUUCGGAAUUACUGGGCGUAAAGCGCGCGCAGGCGGUUUCUCAAGUCAGUGGUGAAAGCCCGGAGCUCAACUCCGGAACUGCCAUUGAAACUGUGAAACUUGAGGACGAGAGAGGUGAGUGGAAUUCCCAGUGUAGAGGUGAAAUUCGUAGAUAUCGGGAGGAACACCAGUGGCGAAGGCGGCGAUCUGGGAAGAUACUGACGCUGAGGAGCGAAAGCCAGGGGAGCAAACGGG